AUUCUCAACCCGUAUUUGGCAACUUUUCAUUGGCAACAUGUCCUUGUCUGCUAUUCAGGACUUGAGUAUCAUGAAAUUUAAGCAGAAAGGUUAAGAACUGCCUGGCCCAAGAUUGAAGCUUCUCCAGGAGAGUAAUAAGACAUGAGGUUGAAAAAGCAGAUUGGAGAGAGAUUGCAAAGAGCCUUGACUGUCAACUUGAUAAUAGCAAAACUAGUGAAAGUUUACACAACACUAAGUAUGUGUCAGAAUUUGGAAAACUUAGAUAACUUGACCAACCUAAUAUAGAUGGUACUCUGAUCCUAUAAGCUGAGCUCUUAGACUGCCAGGAGUUUGGGUUUUAUUCUACAGGAAAAGGACUGAAGAAAACAGACAGUGAGAUUGAUCCAAAAACUCCCAUGUAUAUACAAACACAUGAAAAAUGUCACCAAAAUGUUAAUGACAGUUACAUUACACUUGCAUCAGGGAUGGGAUUUCUGGUGAGUUUUUACUUUCUUCUUUAUAAAUUUAUGAAUUGUUUAGAUUUUUAAAAUAUGAAAAUACAUAUAAUUAGGAAAAUAAACUAUUUUCACUGAGAGAGAGGAAAGUUUAUGAAUAAAGAAAGAGGAAAAAAAAAGAGAUCCAAGACUGAGGAUAGGCACAAUAAGCCCUUCAAUCAAGGAUUCAAGAAAAUGAAAAUAGAGGUAAAGGUGGAUUAGAUUAUACUGCACAGGCAUGAGAUAUUAGCAAUAGAAACUGAUGGACUGAAAAACCUGGGAAUCUGACUGUCCCAGUCAUGGGAACCGCUAAGUUGUAUAACAUUUUUGUUGUUGUUGUUUUCGAGACAG